UACCUGAGAAAUCAUCCCUGGUAAAAUGCAAAUUUAAGGAAAGGAAAAAAAGCAGAAAAUGGAAAUGUCUGCUGUUUGCCUAGAUAAAACCUUAUAAUAAGAUAUUAAUAGAGUUUCUAAAGAGCUCUGUGGUAAAAAGUUGGCUUAAUUGGAGCAAGAUGGCAGCCGAGUAACAGCUUCCUUGCAUCUGGGCACCGUGAGUCUGGGGAGAUAGGACUCCAGGCAUCUCUGGCUGGUAGGAUCUGCCUAUCAUCACCACUGAGAGGAUACAGGGAGUCAGCGAGAGACUUCUGGACCCCAAGAGGAGGACUAAAACAGUGGAAAACCGACAAGUGGUCGCGUGUGUUCAAUCCGUCUAAACCCGCCCGCAACUAAAUCCACCUGGCCAAUGAAAGAAACAUUCAACAGAAAAUAUCUUGUUUGAACAAGAGCAAACGUGCAUUGGCAUGAACCUUGAGAUAAGAAGAAGCAGGGCUACAUGACCAGACUCCCAGAAGCAGGACCAGCACAAAAGGAGUAUUUGUUUGCAGGAAACAAGAUGAAGAUGAUUGACUAGAGAUACCCAGCACUCCCUCCUUCAUCAUAACAGGACCAAAGAAGUAAUAAGACAACCACUAUCAGUGCCGUUAUGUCACCCUGUCACCCUUGUCAGUGCUGCUUUGGCACCUCAUCACUGCAUGCAGGAACCAGCUGGUACAUGGAUUGGCUCAACUUCCACCCUGUUGCACCACAAUGUCAAAGUCCAACACCUGCUUACUAACGAGCAACCAAUCUUAUCUCAUUAACACAUGCAGUUGCUUGAGGGCUUGUCUCUGGGCUGCAAAACAUCUCCAUGCCGCUGGGAGAUUGUCCUGCUCCCAGCACCUCCCUCAAGAACCAGUGGCUGCUUCUAUAAGCCUGGUGCUCAGUCUCUUACAAACCACACAUCAAAGGAGCUUCUGAGAGAAAAAUACUGGAAUUCAACAAGGAAGUGACAGGAGGUCCCUGAGACAUGGAAGGAGAGAGAAGAAAAGCAGCUGACCUGGCUAGGCUUGGCGCAGAAUCAAAAGGGUAUUUGUGAAGGAAAAAUAAGCAAGAGAUUCAUAGUACUCACAUUCCCACCGCAGAUUCCUAUAAUCCUAUCCAUAGGACAGCUCUUUGCCCUCAUAGGGCCUGAUGCUGGUAUAGAGAGCUGCCUGAAGUCCCUUCACCUGCAGUGCUCCAGACACAGAAUGCAGGCAGUGUCUCACCCCUAAGCCUCAAGCUGCUGCAUCAACUUGAGAGACCAUCUCUGCCAGACUACAUUUUUCCUUGGGACCCAAUGGCCUGCUGCCCCUACUGACACAACCAGUGCCACACACACUGGCAGAGGGCCCUGAAAGAGGACCACUUGGCUCACUGUUUCCAUCACCAGUGACUGCACACACAACCAGGGGCCUCAAGGACCUGCAUGGCUAGUAUGCCACUGCCACCACCAUAGGGCUCAAGAACUUGUCUGCCUGGAAUCUCUAUCACCAGAAAAGUAUCAAUACAGUCUCUGCUAAAAAUGACAGCCCAAACCACUGAGGAACUCACAGAUACUACUGAUGUUGAAUAUAGGUAAAAAAAAGUCAUAUGGAGACUGCACUAUUGCUCACUCCCAUAAUGAAAGUCAAAGAAGUCUAAUGAAAUAAAAUCAUAGAUGUAUCUACAGAAAAGAAUUCUUUCUCUACAAAGCCAAUCCCUAAAAUUAGAAAAAGCUAUAGUUGUACCAGAUGUACAGAUAUCAAUAUAUGAUGACAAGACACAUGAAUAUAGAUUUAAAAAAUCCUUAACAAAUACUAAAAAAUAAGCAAACAACAUAUCAAAUAGAUAAUACACCAUAAUCAACUACUAUUUAUCCUAAGCAUGUAAAUAUGAUGAAAAAUAUGCAAAUAAAUGUAUACUACACAUCAGCAGAAAGACAAAAACCACCCAUAUUAUCAUCUCAAUACAUGAGAUGAUAAAGUAUUUGAUAAAAUUCAACAUCCUUUCAUUAUAAAAUUCAGCAUCCUUUCAUUAUAAAAAUAACUCUUAAGAAAAUAGUCAUAGAAGAGACAUACCUUAACAUAAGAAAAUCUACAUAAGAUGUAUCAAACCCUAACAUCAUACUAAAUGGGAAAAAGCUGAAAGCCUUUAAGAACUGGAGCAUUAUAAGGAUGCUCACUUUCACCACACUUAUUCAACAAAGUCCUAAAAGUUUUAGGCAUAGAAAGAAAUAAAGGACAUCCAAAUAGGAAAAAAGGAAAUCAAAUUGUUUCUCUUUUCAGUUUACAUGAUUGUAGAUAUAGAAAAACCAAAAGACUCCUCCAAAAAACUCUCAGAAUUGAUAAACAAUCUCAGUAAAGUUGGACCAUAAGAAAAUCAACACAUAAAGGUCAGUGGUGUUUCUGAAAAGAAAUAACUAUCUGAAAAAGGAAUCAAGAAACAAUCUCAUUUAAAAUAGCAUAUGUAGGAAUAAAUUUAACCAAGAAGGUAAAGGACCUUUACAUACAACUACAAAACACGAUAAAAGAGAUUGAAGAAAACAAACAAAUGGAAAGACAUCUCAUGCUUGCGUGGUGAAAAAAUUAGUAUUGUUAAAAUGACCAAACUAUCCAAAGGAAUCUAUAGAUUUAAUAUAAUAUUUAUCAAAAUACAAUGCAAUUCUUCAUUGAAAUAGAAAAAAAUCUAAAAUAUAUACUAACCCUCCCAAAACAAUAAAUAGCCAAUAAUACUGGACAAAAAGGAAAAAGCUGGUGGAAUCACACUACUUAACUUCAAAAUAUAUUGCAAAACUAUAGUAAUGAAAACUAGUUGGUACUGGUUUAAAAACACACAAAUAAUGGAAAAGAAUAGGGAACCCCUAAAUCCACAUAUUUGUGUCCAUCUGAUUUUCUACAAAAGUGUCAAAAGUGUCAACUGAUUUUCUACAAAAGUGUCAUGUUUUGGGGGAAGGACACUUUUUUUUAAUCAACAUUGCCGGGAAAACUGGACACAAAAUAUAAUGGACCUUUAUUGCUCACCACAUAAAAAAUAUCAGCUCAAGACGGAUUUAAGGCUUAGACAUAAAACUUAAACUAUAAAACUGGUAUAUGAAAACAUAGGGAAAAUGUUUCAAGACAGUGGUCUAGGCAAGAAUUUCAUGGCUAGGACUUCAAAAGUUCAUGUAACAAAAAUAGACAAAAAACUAUUUUAAAAAGCUUCUGCACAGCAAAUAACAAUCAUCAAAAUCAUGCAAUUAUUACAACUUGCAUAAUUGGAGAAUAUAUUGAAAAGACAAACAUUUAUCAAUGCUGGCAAAGAUGCAUAGAAAAGGGAACUGCUGUACACUGUUGGUGGGAACAUAAACUAAUGCGUCCAUUAUGGAAAGCAAUACAGAGUCAAAAAACUAACAGUAGAACUAAUACAUCACUUCUGGGUAUUUAUCCAAAGGAAAGGAAAUCCAUACAUCCAAUGGAUGUAUGUACCCCCACGUUUGUUGCAGAACCAUUCAAAAUAGCUAAGAUACAGAAUCAACCCAAAUGUGCAUCAACAGAUGAAUGAAUAAAGAAAACAUGGUACAUACACAAUGGAAUAUUCCAUCCAUAAAAACAAACAAAAUUCUGUAAUUCACAGAAAUAUGGAUGAACCUGUAGAGCUUUACUCUAAGUGCAGUAAGCCACACAUUGAAAGAUAAAUACCACAGUUCUCUCUCACAAUUGGAAGCUGAUAAUUUUUGUUUUAGUUCACUGAAAUAGAGAAUAGAAUUGUGGGUACUGGAGGCUGAAGAGGGUUGUUGCAGCCUCUAGUGGCCCCCCAUGGCCCUGGACUCCAUCGCUGCAGAAAGGAACCAGGUGUGACAUGGAUUAGAAGUACAAGCUUGCAGGAGGUGGGCUAACCUUAUUUGCAGGAUGGCCCUGAGCAACCUCCACAGUAGCCUUUUAUUGACAUAGCACAAGACUGGUGAGAGGAGUGUUAGACAAUGACUACGUGCCUAAGGAUGGCCAUGGGCUCGGGAUCUUUCUCCCCAAGGAGCACCUGCAGACGCAUUGCCUGAGGGUCCGUUCCCCAGCUGCAAAUCAUCUUGCUCAGAGGUCAUCUGGCUCUUGGCGUACUCCACAGAGGGUGACAGGGAAAGAGAGGAUGAUGAGAUGUUUGUUAAGUGAUGCAAAAUUACUGCUAGUAGGAGGAAUGAGUCUUGUCAUUCUGUAGCACUGUAAAGUGAAUAUGGUCUCCUAUAAGUUUUGCUAUACUUUCAAAAAGCCAGCAGAGAAGGUUUGAAUGUUCACAACACCAAAAUAUAAUAAAUGUUUCAUGGAGUCCAUGGAUAAAUCACCCUGAUUGAUAAUUACAAAUUAUAUAUAAAUAUUGAAAUCUCACUGUGUAAUAUGUAUAAUUAUUACAUGUCAAUAAAAAUUAAAAACUAAUUCAUUUCCUGUGCAUUCUAUGGAGGAAUUUGGAUUUUCAAAUUUUCUUUUUCACAAAAGCAAAUAAAUUGCAUUUAACUGUAAAUAUUUAAUUUUUAAAGUCACCACAAAUAAGCUUAAAAUUAAAAAAAAUGCAAACUCAGUGCAAAUAUUAAUAGAAAUAAUAGAAGGAAAAAGAUUUUUAGUUUGUAACAAACUACAAAUUCUCAAAAAAAAUGGUACAUAGGACAAAGAUUAUUAAAAAAUAGUUCAAAAAUAGUCAGUAGGCGUUUUAAAUAAUUUACACAAAUAUUUAAUUAGGGAUUUGAAUUGCAUUAAUCCACAAUGCCGUCACGAGUUUAAUUUAAACUGUGUUUUAAAAUAACGGUUAGCAAGAGGGGGAAACUGUUAAUCUUACAUAGUGAAAAACUAAAAUGAUGUAGGCUCUUUGAAGGGCAAUUUGACAAUUAAAAAUUAAAAAUUAACAUGGGUGUAUCUUAAGAAUAAUAAUUCUAUUUCUCACAAUAUUUCCUAGAGAAAUUUAUGAACAUGAAGUUGUAUAAAAGUACAUUUGUUAUUAUAUUGUUUGCAAUGUUACCAUAUGAAAAAUAAAGUUGAUGUGUAUCUGUAUUAAAGAAGGACUAUACAGA